UACGGAGGGUGCAAGCGUUAAUCGGAAUUACUGGGCGUAAAGCGCGCGUAGGCGGUUAUUUAAGUCAGAUGUGAAAGCCCUGGGCUCAACCUAGGAACUGCAUCUGAUACUGGGUAACUAGAGUUUUGGAGAGGUAAGUGGAAUUUCCUGUGUAGCGGUGAAAUGCGUAGAUAUAGGAAGGAACACCAGUGGCGAAGGCGGCUUACUGGCCAAAAACUGACGCUGAGGUGCGAAAGCGUGGGUAGCGAACAGG
rnacentral:rRNA from 1 species